CCUACGGGAGACAGCAGUGAGGAAUAUUGGUCAAUGGCCGAGAGGCUGAACCAGCCAAGUCGCGUGAGGGAAGAAUGUCCUAUGGAUUGUAAACCUCUUUUGUCAGGGAGCAAAGUCACCCACGUGUGGGUGUUGGAGAGUACCUGAAGAAAAAGCAUCGGCUAACUCCGUGCCAGCAGCCGCGGUAAUACGGAGGAUGCGAGCGUUAUCCGGAUUUAUUGGGUUUAAAGGGUGCGUAGGCGGAAGGUUAAGUCAGCGGUCAAAUGUCGGUGCUCAACACCGGCCUGCCGUUGAAACUGGUCUUCUUGAGUGAGCGAGAAGUAUGCGGAAUGCGUGGUGUAGCGGUGAAAUGCAUAGAUAUCACGCAGAACUCCGAUUGCGAAGGCAGCAUACCGGCGCUCAACUGACGCUGAGGCACGAAAGCGUGGGGAUCGAACAGGAUUAGAUACCCUUGUAGUC
rnacentral:rRNA from 1 species